GCGCACCAGGCGCGAAACUUCACACUGUGCGAAAGCACGAUGAGGGAAUCCCAAGUGCUUGCACGUAAGUGUAAGCUGUUUCUCUGUCUAAAACGCAGAGAGAGUGAGGGCUGGGUAAGACGGGUGCCAGCCGCCGCGGUAAUACCUGCAGCUCAAGUGGUGACCGUUAUUAUUGGGCCUAAAACGUCCGUAGCCGGUUUAAUAAAUGCCUGGGUAAAUUGUGUAGCCUAACUAUACGAAUUCCGGGUAGACUGUUAAACUUGAGACCGGGAGAAGUUAGAGGUACUCCUGGGGUAGAGGUGAAAAUUCUGUAAUCCUAGGGGGACCACCAGUGGCGAAGGCGUCUAACUAGAACGGGUCUGACGGUGAGGGACGAAGCCCUGGGGCGCAAACGGGGAUUAGAUACCCGUGUAGU
rnacentral:rRNA from 1 species